CAAAGUAAACAAGACGGCGCUCUAUUAAGCAUUAUUCCCUGGGGCUAUUGCAUAAGCUGUAAUAUGAAAACAUUUGAUCGCGACUGUUAGCAUGCUGCCUUUUGUUUGUUUAUGUCUUCAUAUCUUUAGUGUGAGACUUAAAAUAUGAAAGCUUUGUCAGAAAUGGGAUAUUACGAGGUCCAUAACAAAACUUCUUUAAGGAAAUUGAACUACUAGGCAGUGAGCUCCAAAAAUAUCUGGAGUCCAAAAAGUGUGGCCAAAGAUGGCAAUCUUGUUCCCCGAGUAUGCCCGUUCGCAGGUUGUUAGGUGCCCAGCACCAAGUUUUGGCGAACAUUUUGACCAACUUUUCAAACUCUGAA